UAAUGGGUGAUGGCGUGCCUUUUGUAGAAUGAACCGGCGAGUUACGAUUUGAUGCAAGGUUAAGCAGUAAAUGUGGAGCCGUAGCGAAAGCGAGUCUGAAUAGGGCGUUUAGUAUUUGGUCGUAGACCCGAAACCAGGUGAUCUACCCUUGGUCAGGUUGAAGUUCAGGUAACACUGAAUGGAGGACCGAACCGACUUACGUUGAAAAGUGAGCGGAUGAACUGAGGGUAGCGGAGAAAUUCCAAUCGAACCUGGAGAUAGCUGGUUCUCUCCGAAAUAGCUUUAGGGCUAGCCUCAAGUGAUGAUUAUUGGAGGUAGAGCACUGUUUGGACGAGGGGCCCCUCUCGGGUUACCGAAUUCAGACAAACUCCGAAUGCCAAUUAAUUUAACUUGGGAGUCAGAACAUGGGUGAUAAGGUCCGUGUUCGAAAGGGAAACAGCCCAGACCACCAGCUAAGGUCCCAAAAUAUAUGUUAAGUGGAAAAGGAUGUGGCGUUGCCCAGACAACUAGGAUGUUGGCUUAGAAGCAGCCAUCAUUUAAAGAGUGCGUAAUAGCUCACUAGUCGAGUGACACUGCGCCGAAAAUGUACCGGGGCUAAACAUAUUACCGAAGCUGUGGAUUGUCCUUUGGACAAUGGUAGGAGAGCGUUCUAAGGGCGUUGAAGCAUGAUCGUAAGGACAUGUGGAGCGCUUAGAAGUGAGAAUGCCGGUGUGAGUAGCGAAAGACGGGUGAGAAUCCCGUCCACCGAUUGACUAAGGUUUCCAGAGGAAGGCUCGUCCGCUCUGGGUUAGUCGGGUCCUAAGCUGAGGCCGACAGGCGUAGGCGAUGGAUAACAGGUUGAUAUUCCUGUACCACCUAUAAUCGUUUUAAUCGAUGGGGGGACGCAGUAGGAUAGGCGAAGCGUGCGAUUGGAUUGCACGUCUAAGCAGUAAGGCUGAGUAUUAGGCAAAUCCGGUACUCGUUAAGGCUGAGCUGUGAUGGGGAGAAGACAUUGUGUCUUCGAGUCGUUGAUUUCACACUGCCGAGAAAAGCCUCUAGAUAGAAAAUAGGUGCCCGUACCGCAAACCGACACAGGUAGUCAAGAUGAGAAUUCUAAGGUGAGCGAGCGAACUCUCGUUAAGGAACUCGGCAAAAUGACCCCGUAACUUCGGGAGAAGGGGUGCUCUUUAGGGUUAACGCCCAGAAGAGCCGCAGUGAAUAGGCCCAAGCGACUGUUUAUCAAAAACACAGGUCUCUGCUAAACCGUAAGGUGAUGUAUAGGGGCUGACGCCUGCCCGGUGCUGGAAGGUUAAGAGGAGUGGUUAGCUUCUGCGAAGCUACGAAUCGAAGCCCCAGUAAACGGCGGCCGUAACUAUAACGGUCCUAAGGUAGCGAAAUUCCUUGUCGGGUAAGUUCCGACCCGCACGAAAGGCGUAACGAUUUGGGCACUGUCUCAACGAGAGACUCGGUGAAAUCAUAGUACCUGUGAAGAUGCAGGUUACCCGCGACAGGACGGAAAGACCCCGUGGAGCUUUACUGUAGCCUGAUAUUGAAAUUCGGCACAGCUUGUACAGGAUAGGUAGGAGCCUUUGAAACGUGAGCGCUAGCUUACGUGGAGGCGCUGGUGGGAUACUACCCUAGCUGUGUUGGCUUUCUAACCCGCACCACUUAUCGUGGUGGGAGACAGUGUCAGGCGGGCAGUUUGACUGGGGCGGUCGCCUCCUAAAAGGUAACGGAGGCGCUCAAAGGUUCCCUCAGAAUGGUUGGAAAUCAUUCAUAGAGUGUAAAGGCAUAAGGGAGCUUGACUGCGAGACCUACAAGUCGAGCAGGGUCGAAAGACGGACUUAGUGAUCCGGUGGUUCCGCAUGGAAGGGCCAUCGCUCAACGGAUAAAAGCUACCCCGGGGAUAACAGGCUUAUCUCCCCCAAGAGUUCACAUCGACGGGGAGGUUUGGCACCUCGAUGUCGGCUCAUCGCAUCCUGGGGCUGUAGUCGGUCCCAAGGGUUGGGCUGUUCGCCCAUUAAAGCGGUACGCGAGCUGGGUUCAGAACGUCGUGAGACAGUUCGGUCCCUAUCCGUCGUGGGCGUAGGAAAUUUGAGAGGAGCUGUCCUUAGUACGAGAGGACCGGGAUGGACAUACCUCUGGUGUACCAGUUGUCGUGCCAACGGCAUAGCUGGGUAGCUAUGUGUGGACGGGAUAAGUGCUGAAAGCAUCUAAGCAUGAAGCCCCCCUCAAGAUGAGAUUUCCCAACUUCGGUUAUAAGAUCCCU
rnacentral:rRNA from 1 species